rnacentral:rRNA from 1 species
AGAGUUUGAUCCUGGCUCAGGACGAACGCUGGCGGUGUGCUUCACACAUGCAAGUCGAACGGAGUAGCAAUACUCAGUGGCGGACGGGUGAGUAACACGUGGGAAUCUACCAUUAGGUGGGGAAUAACAGGCCGAAAGGACUGCUAAUGCCGCAUAUGUAGGCAUCUCGACAGAGAUGUUUAUGAAAGGAGUAAUCCGCCUUUUGAUGAGCCCGCGUCCGAUUAGCUAGUUGGUAGGGUAAAAGCCUACCAAGGCGACGAUCGGUAGGUGGUCUGAGAGGAUGAUCACCCACAAUGGGACUGAGACACGGCCCAUACUCCUACGGGAGGCAGCAGUGGGGAAUUUUACGCAAUGGGGGAAACCCUGACGUAGCGACACCGCGUGAGCGAAGAAGCCCUUUGGGGUGUAAAGCUCUGUCAACAGGAACGAAACAAAUGACGGUACCUGUGGAGGAAGCAUCGGCUAACUACGUGCCAGCAGCCGCGGUAAGACGUAGGAUGCAAGCGUUGUCCGGAUUUAUUGGGCGUAAAGAGUUCGUAGGCGGUUUGUUAAAUCUGAUGUUAAAGACCGGGGCUCAACCUCGGAAAUGCAUUGGAUACUGGCAGACUGGAGUGCAGUAGAGGCUAGUGGAAUUCCCAGUGUAGCGGUGAAAUGCGUAG